GGGAAGCAAGAAGGUAGAGCGGGGACUUCCUGGGAGGUGUAAAACAGAGUCCAAAGGCACAGUGAAGUGUCGCCAAGGGCAGAGCGGGAAAACUCGGAGGCCUCUAGAUUGGCUUGUUUCCUUUGAAGAUUUCAAAAAGACAGGAAUGUAAACAAGAUAACAAAAGCUCCAGAAAGCAUCUCUAAGAUGACGAAGCAGCUGCAAACUGAGACCAGUGAAGAAAUGUGGAAAGACAAUGAUACCCUGUUUACUUAUGGGGUUACUGUCCCAGCUCUGACCCCUGAUCUCAGCACUACAUUUAUGGGUAUCUACUUUGAUCUUGUUUGAACCACUUCUAAAUUCUCUUGGAAUCCCCAGUCUGGGUCAGGCAGAUGGCAGCUGGAAGCAAUUCACUGCAGAUGGUUCUUGUGAGGCACUGAAAUGCAAGGGCUAAGUACAGAGAUCUCUCAAGUUUAUAGAAACAAAGAGAGGUGUUGAGGAACCUACAUAGGAGUAACAUCGAAGAGCUGUUGUUGCCAUGGAGCUGAAGAAGCAGAGGGAGGAAGUCAUGCUGAAAACCUGGGCGCAAGUCAGAGCCCUUGAGGAGGAGAUGUGAUGGUAGGAGCCCAGGCUGGGAAAACGUGUGACCAGUGUCAGUGAGGAGGCUCCAGAGGAGGAGACCCUCAAGAUAGGAGUAGCCCACCUAACAUUCUUUAAUGGAGGAGUAACCCAGGAGGAGCCCAGGAGACAUGUGAAAUCCUUUUUCUUCCCAGGGACAUGAAAGGGGAACUCAAGAAUGAGGAAUAGCUCCCAGGUUCUUAGCCUCAUCUAGCCAUUCCACCUCGGGGUUCAACAACCAUGUACUAGACAAAACAUGAGCAAAAUAAGGAAAACAGACCUGCCCAGAAAUCCGCAGCAGAUUUCCACAAGGUCAGUCUGAGCUCUGGACAAAAGAGGCUGCAAAAAUCAAAUCAAAUAAAAUGUUUUACAACUCUGAA